GCAGCCUCUGAAUCCGGUAAGCCCAACCCCCGCAGCCCAUGAAUGAUCUGUCAGGUCCUCAGUCGCUCAGACCGAGAGAUGGACAUGUGUUUGACUGCCGACAAACAGUACAGAACAUGGAGGACAGCUGCAUGCGUUCUGGACCAGGAGGAGAAACAGUGGUUGCUAACGGCACGUCACCUCCGGCCAGUUUUGUUGCAUAAUAAGAAACCCAAGCAUAGUUUAAGACUCUGGAGGACGUAGACUGCCAAUUCAAACAACAGUACUGCAGCUGAACUGCUGCUUAGGGAUUUUAGUGAGUGUCUAGCUCAUACAAUCGAAACCUUUGGGUUUGAAGUUGGCCAAGAAAGCCGAUAAAAAGCCAGCUGAGACGACGGCUCAAACUGGCCCCUAAAACCAUGGCACUGCUCAAAGUGGGCCACAGCGCAAACUGUCAGAGGACCGAGCUCGGUUUAUUGGCCUCUCUACAUCUCGCACUGGCUGACUAACCAGCACAGUGGCGCUCCUGUUCACGCAUCACUGAAACAU